rnacentral:rRNA from 1 species
UGACCUACGGGACGCAGCAGUGAGGAAUAUUGGUCAAUGGACGAGAGUCUGAACCAGCCAAGUCGCGUGAGGGAAUAAGGCCCUACGGGUCGUAAACCUCUUUUGCCGGGGAGCAAGGGCGGGGACGUGUCCCGGCCCGGAGAGUACCCGGAGAAAAAGCAUCGGCUAACUCCGUGCCAGCAGCCGCGGUAAUACGGAGGAUGCGAGCGUUAUCCGGAGUUAUUGGGUUUAAAGGGUGCGUAGGCGGGCUUUUAAGUCAGCGGUAAAAAUUCGGGGCUCAACCCCGUCCGGCCGUUGAAACUGGG